rnacentral:snRNA from 1 species
GUGCUCGUUUCAGCGCACAUAUACGAAAAUUGGAAUGAUACAGAGAUUAGCAUGACCCCUGAGCAAGGAUGACAUGUAAAUUCAUAAAGCGUUCCAUAUUUUU